GGGGGCUUCGGAGGGACCGGGUGCGGGCAGGGAAAGCCUCUGGGUGGGGCGGGGCCUCGGGAGAGAAGCAGCGCUUCCAACCAAUGAGAGGCGGCAGCCGUCCCGUUAGCGCCGGAUCCCACCGGGGCGGGCGGGGCGGACGGCGCCGAGGGGGAUCCCGGCGCGGCCGAGGGCCCCAGACUCCGCUCCGCGAGGCGACAUGGACCGGAUGACCAGCUCCAUGAAGCAGGUGCCCAACCCCCUGCCCAAAGUGCUGAGCCGGCGCGGCGUCGGCGCGGGGAUGGAGGCGGCGGAGCGCGAGAGCUUCGAGCGGACUCAGACUGUCAGCAUCAAUAAGGCCAUUAAUACGCAGGAAGUGGCUGUAAAGGAAAAACACGCCAGAACAUGCAUACUGGGCACCCACCAUGAGAAGGGGGCGCAGACCUUUUGGUCUGUUGUCAACCGGCUGCCCCUGUCCAGCAAUGCCGUGCUCUGCUGGAAGUUCUGCCACGUGUUCCACAAACUCCUGCGAGAUGGACAUGCGAACGUCCUAAAGGACUCUCUGAGAUACAAAAACGAACUGAGUGACAUGAGCAGGAUGUGGGGCCACCUGAGCGAGGGGUACGGGCAGCUGUGCAGCAUCUACCUCAAACUGCUGAGAACGAAGAUGGAGUACCACACCAAAAAUCCCAGGUUUCCGGGCAACCUUCAGAUGAGUGACCGGCAGCUGGACGAGGCUGGAGAGAGUGAUGUUAACAACUUUUUUCAGCUGACAGUGGAGAUGUUCGACUACCUGGAGUGCGAACUUAACCUCUUCCAAACUGUGUUCAACUCCCUGGACAUGUCCCGCUCCGUGUCAGUGACAACAGCUGGGCAGUGUCGCCUCGCCCCACUGAUCCAGGUCAUCUUGGACUGCAGUCACCUCUAUGAUUACACUGUCAAGCUCCUCUUCAAACUCCACUCCUGUCUCCCAGCCGAUACCCUACAAGGCCACCGGGACCGUUUCAUGGAGCAGUUCACAAAGUUGAAAGAUCUGUUCUACCGCUCCAGCAACCUUCAGUACUUCAAGCGGCUCAUUCAGAUCCCUCAGCUGCCCGAGAACCCACCCAACUUCCUCCGGGCCUCUGCCCUGUCAGAACACAUCAGCCCCGUGGUGGUAAUCCCGGCCGAGGCCUCGUCCCCUGACAGCGAGCCAGUCUUGGAGAAGGAUGACCUUAUGGACAUGGAUGCCUCCCAGCAGAAUGUAUUUGACAACAAGUUUGAUGACAUCUUUGGCAGCUCGUUCAGCAGUGAUCCCUUCAAUUUCAACAGUCAGAACGGUGUGAACAAGGAUGAGAAGGAUCACUUAAUUGAUCAAUUGUACCAAGAGAUCAGUGGGCUGAAGGCACAGCUGGAAAACCUGAAGACUGAGAGCCAGCGAGCUGUCCUGCAGCUGAAGGGCCGCAUCAGUGAGCUGGAGGCCGAGCUGGCCGAGCAGCAGCACCUGCGGCAGCAGGCUGCCGAUGAGAGCGAGUUUCUUCGGGCAGAGCUGGAUGAGCUCAAGAGGAAGCGAGAAGACACGGAGAAGGCACAGCGGAGCCUGACAGAGAUAGAAAGGAAAGCCCAGGCCAAUGAGCAGCGGUACAGCAAGCUCAAGGAGAAGUACAGUGAGCUGGUGCAGAACCACGCGGACCUUCUGCGGAAGAAUGCAGAAGUGACUAAACAGGUGUCUGUGGCCAGACAAGCCCAAGCAGAUUUGGAACGAGAGAAAAAAGAGCUAGAGGAUUCCUACCAGCGCAUAAGUGAGCAGGCCCAGCGGAAGACUCAAGAGCAGACGGAAGUACUAGAGAAUUUGAAGCAAGAACUUGCCACCAGCAAGCAGGAGCUCCAGAUUGCCCAAGGCAGCCUGGACACCUGUGCCCAGGCAGAAGAAAAAUGGGUGACUCAGAUUGCUGAACUGGAGAAGGAACGGGACAGCUUGGUGAAUGCCAUGGCUCAUCGAGAAGAGGAAGUCUCUGCUCUUCAGGAACAGCUGGAACACACCCAGCUCAAACUGUCCAGCGCACAGGAAUCCAUGUGCCAGCUCGCAAAGGACCAACGGAAAAUGCUUCUAGCAGAGUCAAGGAAGGCUGCAGAGCAGGUGAUACAAGAGGCCCUGCGGCAGCUGGAGGAGCCCACUCUCAUCAGCUGCCCCGGAUCUGCAGAUCACCUUCUUUCCACGGUCAAGUAUGUUUCCAACUGUAUUGAGCAACUGGAAAAAUGCUGGAGCCAGUACCUGGCCCACCCAGAAGAUAUCAGUGGGCUUCUGCACUCGGUCACCCUCCUUGCCCGCUUGACCAGUGACACCAUUGUUCACGGUGGCACCACCUGCCUUAGAGCCCCACCAGAGGCUGCCGAUGCACUGACCGAGGCCUGUAAGCAGUAUGGCAAGGAAACCCUCAUCUAUCUGGCUUUCCUGGAGGGAGAAGGAACCCUUGAGAGUGUCAACAGCACAGCUAUGAAGAGCUGCCUCAGCAAGAUCAUGGCCAUUGGCGAGGAGCUCCUGCCCAGGGGCCUGGACAUCAAGCAGGAGGAGCUAGGAGACCUGGUGGACAAGGAGAUGGCUGCUACUUCAGCUGCCAUUGAAACUGCUACAGCCAGAAUAGAGGAAAUGCUCAGCAAAUCUCGAGCAGGGGACACGGGAGUCAAAUUGGAGGUGAACGAAAGGAUUCUUGGAUCUUGUACCAGUCUAAUGCAAGCUAUUCAGGUCCUCAUUGUGGCCUCGAAGGACCUCCAGAGAGAGAUAGUGGAAAGCGGCCGGGGCACAGCAUCCCCUAAAGAGUUUUAUGCCAAGAAUUCUCGAUGGACAGAAGGACUCAUCUCAGCCUCCAAAGCUGUGGGCUGGGGAGCCACUGUCAUGGUUGACGCGGCCGAUCUGGUGGUACAAGGCAGAGGGAAGUUCGAGGAGCUGAUGGUGUGUUCCCAUGAAAUCGCUGCUAGCACAGCCCAGCUUGUGGCCGCAUCCAAGGUGAAAGCCGACAAGGACAGCCCCAACCUGGCCCAGCUGCAGCAAGCCUCCCGCGGGGUGAGCCAGGCCACUGCUGCGGUGGUGGCCUCGACCAUUUCUGGCAAAUCGCAGAUUGAGGAAACAGACAACAUGGACUUCUCAAGCAUGACGCUGACCCAGAUCAAACGCCAGGAGAUGGACUCCCAGGUGAGGGUUCUGGAACUGGAAAAUGAACUGCAGAAGGAGCGUCAAAAACUGGGAGAGCUUCGGAAAAAGCACUAUGAGCUGGCUGGCGUUGCAGAGGGCUGGGAAGAAGGAACAGAAGCAUCUCCACCUGCACUGCAAGAAGCGGUGGCCGAAAAAGAAUAGAGCCGCACUGAUGCCCCACACGUCACAGUGUAAAUCUCGGUUGGCCCUUUAUGUUCUUUUCAGUUUCAUCACUUGCACAAACUUGUGAGCAUCAGAGGGCUGGCGGAUUCCAAACCAGGACACUACCCUGAGUCUGUGCAGAGUCAGAAGGACAGGAGGAGUGUCCUGGCUGAGAAUGCCAAGGCAGUGCUCCCCCUCUUUUUGGCAGUUCCAUGGAUUCCCACUGCUGCUUAUGGUGAUUGGCUGGGUUUUGGGUUUUCUUUUUUCAAGUUUCGCUCACAUAGCCAACUCUCCCAAGGGGAACACCUCUGAAGCUCUGAGCUCCCAGGAGCCCCUGACCACAGCAGUUAACAGCAACGGUGCUGCUCAGGCUCUACCUUGGUGCUCCCAUCAGCCUCCAGGCUGAGUCUCCUGCUGAGCGUGGGUCAGCCGAGGCCACUCCCCAGGGUCGGGCGGAGCUGCUGAGCCACAGCUUUCCUCCAAAGGCAGAAGUGGAGGGAGUGCCUUUCCUCCCCAAAGCUGGAGCCCAGCUGCCAGCCUCUGCCCACCUUCACAAAUGAAAGGGCCACAGAAAGAGGGAAAGGAGGGGUGCACACAGCCCAGGUCUUCAGGAGACGCCUUUCUCUGGAACUCCUCGUGACCAGGCUGGAAAACCUUAUCACAUGCUUGAAUGGAGCUGGUGAGAAUAGCCACACCUCUUCCCCCAGAAUGAAUUUUCCUUGUCACCUCCCUUCAGACCCAGGCAGGGCCCCCAGAAGGCGCUUGUGAGGGGUUUUCAAUUCCUUUCUCUAAAUGUCUGCCUGCCUUUGGUAUCCUCUUGAAUCUGAAGAAGCUAGUUCCAUGUUCUACCUAAUGACAGACCCAGAAGAUCAGACAAACUUGCUCCCAGUAGGAAAGAACCCCGUGCUUGGCUAGGUUCCUUUAAUAUUUAUUACUAACCUCCAUGAAGCAGCAGCAGCAGCCUACAAAAAGACGCUUAGAGCAAUCAGGAUUUCAGGUGUGACUGUAACAAGGCUUGCAUUGCUGCCCUGUACAUCAGUCUUCAAGAAUUGGAAACGAGGCCAAGAUGCCAUCCCAAUCUGUCGCCGGUUUGGAUCGUGAAGCAAGCAAGGUUCCUCAGAGUUUCUUGGGCAGGGAAAACAUGAAGGAGGACCAUGGCUCCGUUCCCUUCCAGCCACAUGUCCCGGGCCCUCACUGCCCUGUGGACGGGAUGAGGGCGUGUCAAUACCCUCACAGAGACGGGCAGCCCGGCAGCACUCCUCCACCUCCAGAUGGACCCAGCAUUCAAGUGACCUUUCGAUCUUGGACAAACAAUGUCUUCCUUAUCUGUAGCAAUUCAUAGGUAGCAGCCAACAAGCACUUCCCAGGACCUGUCCCAAAGGAACAUUGUAAAUGUGGCUAUGUGACAGGUUGUGAGACUCCUGUUUGAUCACUGUGAAUCAACUCCCCCCCAAUAUCCCCCCAGACUCCGUCUCUGCAUUCUCUAAGUAGGGCACUCAAAAAACUGUCUCCCUGUAGCUCAGAUGAUGAGACUCAGAUGUGUGAUCUCCACCGUAGGCUAAAGAGGGUUCAGUAGAAACUGCGCACUCAUGUUUAACGCUUCUUUGUGCUCAGCGUUUUCCCAUCCGACGCUCAGAAGGAGUGGUGUGUGGCAUCCCGGGCCCACUUGUGCCAAUUAAGCCAAUCAGUAUGUUCUCGGUGUGGAUCAAUAUUUCCAUAGGUGGUUAGUCCCCAUUUUCAGAAUCUCAGCCGCUCAAACAGUUGUGCUUCGGGGAAAGUCUAGUAUACUGGGCCAGAUAAGGACUCUGAAAAAUCACUCCCUCUUGAAAAGAAGCCUCAGUAAUUUUUAAAAUCUUCAUGGGCUUAGCCAGUAAUGAAGCCAUGAAGAAAGCACUUAAAGAGGAGCACAGGCUCCAUCAGUCUCACGUGAGGCAGUACCUGUCACGUCAUUACUUCCGCCAUUGCUCAGGUUUGGAGCUAGCCCAUUCUCUAGCCAAAGUCAAAUCGCCCUGUCUUGGCUCUUCUAAGAAUGUGUGGUACACCUUGAUGAAAACAGAAAUCAUCAUAUCCUAAAGCUAAAAGUGAACCUCACAGCCUUUUAAAUUAGUCACUGAGCAUCAUCAGUGACUGGAGUAUCAUGGGUCAGUGUAAAUGGGUCACGAGAGAGGACAACAGCAAAAGAGUGGCUUAGGAUUGGCCAGAGGUUGAAAGGCAGCCGCAUCUAUUUAAUUUUGUAAUACGGUGCUCUAAUACCUCUAGAAUAAGGGUGUGUGUGUACAUAAUAAGGAAAAAAAAUAGAAAAGACCUGCUUUUGUGGGGUUAUUUUAUAUCUGAACAAGGAGUUUAAAUUAGACUAUAAUUAAGAUUGGUCCCUAGGAUUCCCACCUAAAUAUGAGUCCCCAUUCCUUUGGCUGGAAUUACAAAACGUCCAGGGCAUUCUUUCUUGGAAGUGUUUGAGCUGUCGCGUCAGACACCAAGCACCAUGGGGGUCACAGGUGCCUGUUUUUCAGUCAGGUUGCUAUGCUGUGGCCUCACUAAGGAGCAGCUGGUUCUGAGCUUACACCCAGGAAGUGCUCACUUAUUGCCAGCUCCUUAGUCUAGAGCAGCAAUUUUUCAGCUGGCAUGCUGUAAGAAUUUUUAAAACAGGCAAUACUGACUAUUUGGACCUCUUUUCCCUGAGAUUGUCAUAUUGAAAAAUGACAGUAGCCAACACAGCAAUAGCUGACUGGUGUGAAUGCCCUCACUUGAGCCACGAAUAGAGUUGUAUCUUAUUGGUCACAUCGCAUCUUCAGGUUGGGUCUUUAAUUCUUGGUACCAGAAAUCCUUAUAAACAGGUCUAGGCACUGCAUCCAAUUUUUAGUCACUUUGGAGCAAAAAAGGGUAGGUAAUUGCUUUUUUGGGGGGGGUGGGGAUAAAUCAAAACUAUACCUAUUUUUUGUCAGAUGAGCAAAAAAAUAUUUUUUUUGGUGUGCUGCAGAAUUUUAGUAGCUUAUGUGUGCCAUGAGAUGAAAAAGGUUGAAAAUCGCUGGUCUAGAGGGGUCCUCUGGCUCCACUUAACCUGGUCUUGAAUUACUGUCAAGUUCUUGCUACCUUCUGCCACCUUUCCAUACCUCUGGAAAUCCCUCCUGCCAACAGAAGCCUUCAGUGCUGUCAUUGGCCUUCAACCAGAUCGGCUUUGCCCUCUCCCUCCGCCGUCCUCUGUCCUCCAGAGACCGCACUGCCACAGUAUGGAACACCACCACCACCACAGGCCUGCCAGCCCUCAACACCGCCGACUGGCGAGCUGUCUGCCGCUCAAGUCCAUGGUCUCCCGGGUCCAGACCAAAUAAGGAUCGGCGACCUGCAGUGGUGGCCCAGCCUUUCACCCCAGGAGCCAAAGCAACAUGAAACAAUUGGUUCGAUGCCAUUGGGUUCAAUUCUGAGAGUAGAUCAUUUCCAGACAGGUCUUUCAGGUGACCCUCAACUACCUCAGGUUUGAAGGCCCUAAAUUAAGCUGAUUAUUCAUAGGGCCAAACCGAGGGGGUUCAGGUAAAUCUUGGUGAUAACACAAUUGUCUCUAACUUUUAACUCUUUCACACUUAGGUCUGCAGGGAUGGGGUUGGGUUUGUUUUUCUUUUCUGUUUUUAACCUUUCCCCCCAUUUUCCAUUAGAAUAGUUCUUAUAAAUGAAUUUCAUUUUUCACGGAGUGCCUACCUUCCCGGGGCAGGUAGCCACUGGCUUUUGUUCCCUUCCAACGAUACUUUUAUUAUGGUAUUAAGACCUUUCUUUGUAAAAAACAUUGCAUCUGUGUUUUCAAUUUUUCAAAUAAAUAUUUCAACCUGG